CGAUUCCCUCCGACCGUCCGUUCGUCCGAGAACAACUGUGCUCGAUCUCUCCCGGCCGUCGUUUUCUUGUCUCUUCUGUGUACACACACAAGUGCGUACAGACCGUCAAGACUUCUCGUUCCUCUUCCUCCUUUCACAUCCCAGACGAAGGCUGGGGUGUGUGCGGCGAGCAGGAGACACGGACGAAGCGGAGAGAAAUGAAAGCACAAAGCAGCAAAACGCAUCAGCAUGAAUAUUAGAGAUGUCGUUAAAAUCCGGACUCGUUUUUCUCUCUCUCUCUCUCCCUUGCUCACUCACUCUCUCGCUCUCUCUUUAGCUCAUUGUGAAGCAGGAGGUCCAGCAGAGGGUGCUAGCUGUUAUUACAUUAACUUUCACAACUUAACCCCAAAAAUACUGAAUUUCUCUACUUGCCAGGCACAAAAUGCACAACAGCUAGUGUUUAAGGAAACGAAUACACCUACACAUAUAUUCAACAGCUAUUUUGUGUCAAAACAGCAUUGUUUUGACCUAAACAAGUAAAAUAAAUCACAAUUCUAAUUUGAAAUAUUUCAGAAUCAUGUCAGCAAUUCAAUUUUCAGGUUCGCACAUAAACACACAUACAGAAGAGGGGGCAGGUGGCAUGUGCUGCUGCCUGGAUAGACUCACAGGAAGUGACAACAGAUACUCAAGGGGAAAUGAGGUCAUGCCCUGACUUUCCCUAAGUGUGACACAUUGGCCAUGUGCAACUGUGCACGUGCACUGCAACAAACCUCUUGAGCCCACACAUACACAUGCAGCAAAAAUGAAAACAAGUGUCAGAGGAGAGGAAAAAACACAGAGGAAAAACGUGCAUUUAUGACACCCCAAAUAAUACGUCAGGCAUAGAACCACUUGGGUGUUAUGACUAGCUACUGAAAUCACGCAUUAAAACAUCUUAGCUUAAGAAUUUUACGGAGUAGCAGAGAGAUUAGCUGUGGUUCGACCAAGCCUGGAGACUGGAGUAAGAGCAACUUUUGCACUUUUGGUUAAAAUAAGGCAAGACAAUACAUGUGAACUGAAAGUCAACUAAAACACUCUUCUCACUAGAUGGCACAUAGUGUAGCUGUGUCUGUUGGUGCAUGUGCACGUUCCUCUUCCGGGAGUAUGCUAGCAACAAUAAAAUGGUUUGCGCAGUACAAACAGGCUAAGUGUGACCGAGAGAGAGAGAUAACAAAAGAGACAGAGGGGGGAAAAAGACAGAGAUAACAAGGCCUUGAAGUUUGGACUGGUGGAAACAACUCAAAAACCUCAAUACACACUUUAUAUGAUCAUCUCCUUAUAUCCUUAUAUCCCCUUAUCCUACCCCUACCCCUAAAUCUGCCCCGUCACACAAAACGUUCUGCUAUUUUAGAUAUUUAAAUUAAAGAAAAUUAAGAAAAUAAAAUCAUUCUGUAUGA